ACUUCUGGAACUAGGCCUGUGCUAAGUCUACCCAGUCCUGCUUGCAGAUCCUGUUGGGGUAUAAGAAGAGGUGGAAUAUGAUUAAGUCCCGUCUCUGCUUUGGACCCUGCUUAGACGAAUCACUGUCCUUGUCUACCCUCCCAUCGUGGAGCUCUGGAGGUCCUCACUCGCUCUCAGCCAGACCUCUCCACUUAAGAGCUUUGCUUCCACUGUGUUCUAUCUGUCCGCUGAGCUCCUGAAUUAACAUGAUUGUUCUUAUCUUGAGCUACCUCAACUCUGUUCGUGGCUCUGUCUUACUGGAUGUUGAACCUUGGACAAAAUUUUUCACCUCUGUGAGGCUUCGUGUCUUUAUCUG